CAAGCACAAGUGACCACCUGGUUUUCACCCCAGGAUCCCCUAUCACAGUGCUUUUCAAACCUUAAUGUGCAUUACAUCUGUUAAAACACAGACUGCUAGCUCCCUCCUCAGAGUUCCUAACUCAACAGGUCUGAUUUUGGAGCCCAAGGAUUUUCAUUCACGACCAAUUCCCAGGUGACGCUGAUGCUGCUGGUCCAGAGACCACACAUGAGACUCACUGUCUAUCCAUGUUCUAGGAUUCGGUACUUCAGGAAAAGACACAGACAGACCCUCUCUGCCUGUCUGGAGACACAAGCUUCCUCAGCGGAGUCUAUGAAUCUCCUCUCGGGAAGCCUCUACUCAGCUCCAGAAAUGCCAGGGAUGAGCUCUCGCCCUGGUGAGGACCUUCACACAGUGAUGGGCAGCAGCAGGUGUCAAGGCACAGUGUCACGUGCAACAAGGACUCAGCUUUCUAGUCACCCUGCCUCUUCUCAAGCCCAGCGGCAGCCACCUCCUGGCUGUGUGGCCGUGGGCAAGUCACACAGUCCCUGAGCCUCACCUUCCCACCUUCUUAACCUGGAACAGUAAUGCCCACAUCCUACAGGGUUUCUGAGAAGAGUAAAUGGGAACCUGCGAGCAGGAACCCUCAGUUAGCUGUAAAGUACCCUACAGAUACCAUUACAGCUUCGGGACAGAUUUGCAUCUUAACAACUGUUGCUUCUUUUUUUCCCCCACCCUCACCUCCAGUAAUUUUUGUUUGUUUGUUAGGCUCUCCUCACCCUCUCCCCCAACAAUGAGCCUUUACCUUUGAGCCCCAGUAUUGCUGAUGGUGACUCACCUUCCACGGGUGUAUUCACACAACUAGACCCACGCUUCUCGCCGCCAUGUGUAGGCUCUAAAAGGAAAAACAGAAACAAUCUAGAUACGUGGCAUUAAAGUCUCAUAUUUCUCCGCCCAAAGACGUGAGCCUCAGUCUUCUCACUGGUCAAGAAUAUAAUGAGAAGAAGCACUAACUAAGCAGUUUGUCACUGGCUACCAGCAGGUUCUGCAGGCCCAUUUUAUCUCCUCUCCCUCUGCUUUUUGCUAUUUGAACAUUAGAUUCCAUCCUGGAAUCUCCUUAAUACUCAAGCAGAUACAGAGAAAGAAAAUGAGAUCCCCACUGAAGGACGUGGGGUCAGAGGCUGUUGCAGAUCUUGGCAAAGACCCUCUUGGAUCAGCUGUGUAAGUCAGUCUGAUGUUUUUCUUCCCUUCGGAGUCCUAGCCUGCGGAAGGUAAUCAUUAUAUUCUUGCUGUGUUGGAGGGGAAGUAUCCAGUUUGUGGAGUCAGAAAGAUCUGGAUUCAGUCUUUAUUCUAUCUUGGUCAUAUCACUUGACUUUCCUAAGGCUCAGGUCUUACAUCUGUAAAAUAAAGAUACCACUAUUUACUUCA